CGAGUCUACACUGUGAAGGUGAAGUACCGCCGUAACUGUAGAUUUUCGUAGAGGUAUGACGUAAUGAAAGCUGAUUAUUCUACGGAGAUUUCGUUAUGGCCUGAUAAGCCUUUUUAUCAAUGACAUUAACGCUGGCGCCGGAAUCAAUGAACACUUGAAGUGGUACAUUUGCAAUCAUAACUUUGGCCUUCGGGGUGGUUAAAUCACUGACUUGGGAAAUAGUACGUACUGUGAAAAGAUACUUGUCCUCAGAGACAAGGUAUUGUUGAGUGUCGGUAACGUGGCGAAUCUCGCGGGGGGGGUUGACGCGGAAAGGAGUUAGGAGAGGGUGGUUGAAAACGCGAUUGAGGGCUGGGGGAACUACUUUCAGCAAACGAUGGUCUAGUGAUAGGUUUAGAUCGACAACAACGGGUUCAUUUUCCCGCACGAACGACACUGGGAACCGCGCGCAGUACAGCUGGCUUGGCCUUGUGGAUGGGGAUAGGCAUAGCCACAAUGUCCACUCGUAGAGGAUGGGCUGGGGAACUUUCGAGAAUGUGGGAAAGGAGC